GCCCGGCUGGCUCAGUUGGCAGAGCAUGUGACUCUUGAUCUCAGGGUUGUGAGUUUAAGCCCCACAUUUGGCA
rnacentral:tRNA from 1 species